rnacentral:rRNA from 1 species
CCAAUAGCGUAUAUUAAAGUUGUUGCAGUUAAAAAGCUCGUAGUUGAAUUUCGGGAUUAGUACGUUGGUCGUGCCUUAGGUACGUACUGGUGUUACUGGUUCCUACCUUCUGACGAACCAUCAUGUCAUUAAUUUGGUGUGGCGGGGAAUCAGGACUGUUACUUUGAAAAAAUUAGAGUGUUUAAAGCAGGCUCGCGCUUGAAUACAUUAGCAUGGAAUAAUGAAAUAGGACGUUGACCCUAUUUUGUUGGUUUCUAGGAUUGACGUAAUGAUUAAUAGGGAUAGUUGGGGGCAUUAGUAUUCAAUUGUCAGAGGUGAAAUUCUUGGAUUUAUUGAAGACUAACUACUGCGAAAGCAUUUGCCAAGGAUGUUUUCGUUAAUCAAGAACGAAAGUUAGGGGAUCGAAGACGAUCAGAUACCGUCGUAGUCUUAACCAUAAACUAUGCCGACUAGGGAUCGGAUGAUGUUAAUUUUUUAAUGACUCAUUCGGCGCCUUACG